rnacentral:rRNA from 1 species
CGCGUAGGCGGGUUUUCAAGUCGGUUGUGAAAUCCCUCAGCUCAACUGAGGAACUGCAUCCGAUACUGUUUGUCUUGAGGACGAGAGGGGAGAGUGGAACUUCUGGUGGAGCGGUGAAAUGCGUAGAUAUCAGAAGGAACGCCGGUGGCGAAAGCGACUCUCUGGCUCGUAUCUGACGCUGAGGCGCGAAAGCUGGUAGCAAACG